GACGUACGCUGGCGGCGUGCUUAACACAUGCAAGUCGAACGAUGAAGCCCAGCUUGCUGGGUGGAUUAGUGGCGAACGGGUGAGUAAUACGUGAGUAACCUGCCUUUAACUCUGGGAUAAGCCUUGGAAACGGGGUCUAAUACCGGAUACGACCAACCCUCGCAUGGGGUGUUGGUGGAAAGGGAUUUUGUACUGGUUUUAGAUGGGCUCACGGCCUAUCAGCUUGGUGGUGAGGUAACGGCUCACCAAGGCGACGACGGGUAGCCGGCCUGAGAGGGUGACCGGCCACACUGGGACUGAGACACGGCCCAGACUCCUACGGGAGGCAGCAGUGGGGAAUAUUGCACAAUGGGCGCAAGCCUGAUGCAGCGACGCCGCGUGAGGGAUGACGGCCUUCGGGUUGUAAACCUCUUUCAGCAGGGGAGAAGCGAAAGUGACGGUACCUGCAGAAGAAGCGCCGGCUAACUACGUGCCAGCAGCCGCGGUAAUACGUAGGGCGCGAGCGUUGUCCGGAAUUAUUGGGCGUAAAGAGCUUGUAGGCGGUUUGUCGCGUCUGCUGUGAAGCCCGGGGCUUAACCCCGGGUUUGCAGUGGGUACGGGCAGACUAGAGUGCAGUAGGGGAGACUGGAAUUCCUGGUGUAGCGGUGAAAUGCGCAGAUAUCAGGAGGAACACCAAUGGCGAAGGCAGGUCUCUGGGCUGUAACUGACGCUGAGAAGCGAAAGCAUGGGGAGCGAACAGGAUUAGAUACCCUGGUAGUCCAUGCCGUAAACGUUGGGCACUAGGUGUGGGGAACAUUCCACGUUUUCCGCGCCGUAGCUAACGCAUUAAGUGCCCCGCCUGGGGAGUACGGCCGCAAGGCUAAAACUCAAAGAAAUUGACGGGGGCCCGCACAAGCGGCGGAGCAUGCGGAUUAAUUCGAUGCAACGCGAAGAACCUUACCAAGGCUUGACAUAUACUGGACCGCCUCAGAGAUGGGGUUUCCCUUUUAGGGCUGGUAUACAGGUGGUGCAUGGUUGUCGUCAGCUCGUGUCGUGAGAUGUUGGGUUAAGUCCCGCAACGAGCGCAACCCUCGUUCUAUGUUGCCAGCACGUAAUGGUGGGGACUCAUAGGAGACUGCCGGGGUUAACUCGGAGGAAGGUGGGGAUGACGUCAAAUCAUCAUGCCCCUUAUGUCUUGGGCUUCACGCAUGCUACAAUGGCCGGUACAAAGGGUUGCGAUACUGUGAGGUUGAGCUAAUCCCAAAAAGCCGGUCUCAGUUCGGAUUGGGGUCUGCAACUCGACCCCAUGAAGUCGGAGUCGCUAGUAAUCGCAGAUCAGCAACGCUGCGGUGAAUACGUUCCCGGGCCU
rnacentral:rRNA from 1 species